rnacentral:rRNA from 1 species
GUGGGGAAUAUUGGACAAUGGGGGAAACCCUGAUCCAGCGACGCCGCGUGUGUGAAGAAGGCCUGCGGGUUGUAAAGCACUUUUAGUGGGGAGGAAAAGCUCAGACCUAACACGUCUGGGAAUUGACUUAACCCAAAGAAAAAGCACCGGCUAACUCUGUGCCAGCAGCCGCGGUAAUACAGAGGGUGCAAGCGUUAAUCGGAAUUACUGGGCGUAAAGCGUACGUAGGCGGUUUGGUAAGUCGGAUGUGAAAUCCCCGGGCUCAACCUGGGAAUUGCAUUCGAGACUGCCUGGCUAGAAUGCGGUAGAGGGAAGCGGAAUUUCCGGUGUAGCAGUGAAAUGCGUAGAUAUCGGAAGGAACAUCAGUGGCGAAAGCGGCUUCCUGGACCAGCAUUGACGCUCAGGUACGAAAGCGUGGGGAGCAAACAGGAUUAGAAACCCCAGUAGUCC